AUGAUGAAAUAAAAAUAUACAAAUUUUCAUUAAAUGUUAAUCCCAUAAGCAUUGUCUUAAAUGACGAGUGAUUUACAGCAUCUGUCAAUGAGAAUGCCCCUUAUGUUGAUAGGUAAUGGUGCUUUACACAGUAAGUUAGGUCUGAAAAGCUCAGUACCAAUGACUUUCUCCUCUCUUUUGUUACAGAUCCAGACUUUACUUACCUUGGAGGUAUUUUAAAUCCCAUUCCAGGUUUAGUAUAUUACCUCUUUCUUUGUGUGACAUUUUUUGUUAGUUUUAUUUUUCUUUGAAUAUCUUUUUUCCCCCCCCAGAUUGCCAGUUUGAGCUCUCUGGAGCUGAUGGAAUAGUACGGUCUAGCCAAGUAGAGCAAGAAGAGAAAACAAAGCCUGGCCAAGCAGUUGAUUGCAUAUGGACAAUUAAAGCUACUCCAAAAGCUAAGGUACUGUCGUUGUAUAUUGACUCACUUCAGAGAAGAACAUUAAAAGGUGUGAUUUCUAUAAUGUAUUGUUUGAUUCAUGUAAAUAUUUGUGACUCUUUAAGUUCUUUUGUUUCCUUUACUGUAUUGGGCACCUAUGAAGAUUAUAGUGUUUUUGUAGUUAAAUAAAAUGAGAUUGAAAUAAUUUAAAAUAUUAUAUGUAUGUGUGUAUACAUAUAUGUAUAUAUAUAUUAAAGGUUUCUUUUUAAAUUUUUAAGUGUGUGAAUGCACAAAGGCACACAGCACACCUGUGAGAGUCAUAGGACAACUUCAUGGCAUUGACUUUCUCCUUGUGGGGGUGAAUUCAGGUCACUGGGAUUGCACAGUACGUUUGUUUUACUUGCUGAGCCAUCUCAUCAACCUCAUAUUAAGAUUCUUAAUCUUGAAAGAUUAUGGUUUUAAAAAUCUAUGGAGUCCUAACUGGUAAAUGUAAGUAUUGAUCAAACACUUGUUGGUUUUUGAGGGGGUGUUUUGUUUUGUUUUAUUUUGUAGGGGUUGUGUGUGUGUGUGUGUGUGUGUGUGUGUGUGUGUGGUGUGGUCUUGUGGUUGUUUUGUUUAUGUACUUUAGGGUCUGGGAAGGUGGCAUGGUGAAUAAAGUACUCACUGUGUAGGCGUGAAGCCCUGAGCUCAGAUGCCCAGCAUCCACAUAACCCAGGCCCCUUUGUGGUAGAGCGUGCACUUCUGUAACAUCAGCGCAGGAAAUGGGGAGACAGGCAGAUCCCAGAGGUUUGCUGCUCAGCUGCCCAGCUCAAGUGGGGAAUUCAAGGUUCCGUGAGAACCCCUGCCUCAAACACUAAUUAGUUAGCAAGCAAGAGAAGCUAUUUCCUGUCCACCUCUGGCCUACACGUGUACACGCACAAAUACACACACACACACACACACACACACACACACACACACACACACCCUCUCUCUCUGAUGAGGAACAGAUGUCUAGCCUGCAAGAAGUUACUAUGUUAUAGAGGGUUGGUCACAUCAGAAAAAAUAAAACCUAGAAUCACGGUUCAUUGUUGUCACUGUGCUGCCCCCUGCUGACCAUGUGACACUUACGGACAGUGCUGUACAAAAGAAUGCCUUUAAAUAACUCUGAGACUGGUUGCUGACUACUUUUGCUUUUUGUUUUUAAUUUACACUUCUAGGAAUAUCAACAGACAUAAAACUAGACUUACUUUAUGUAUUUGUUUAAAAAGGAAAAGAAUGAAAGAAGCGCUAAAAGAACAUAUGAUUUGGGGGCAAACCUAGGCUACGUUGUAACUGAGACCUUGACCCUCCCAC
rnacentral:lncRNA from 1 species